AGAGUUUGAUCAUGGCUCAGAUUGAACGCUGGCGGCAUGCCUAACACAUGCAAGUCGAACGGCAGCACAGCAGUAGCAAUACUGUGGGUGGCGAGUGGCGGACGGGUGAGUAAUGCAUCGGGACCUGCCCAGACGUGGGGGAUAACGUAGGGAAACUUACGCUAAUACCGCAUACGUCCUACGGGAGAAAGCGGGGGAUCGAAAGACCUCGCGCGGUUGGAUGGACCGAUGUUCGAUUAGCUAGUUGGUGAGGUAAUGGCUCACCAAGGCGACGAUCGAUAGCUGGUCUGAGAGGAUGAUCAGCCACACUGGGACUGAGACACGGCCCAGACUCCUACGGGAGGCAGCAGUGGGGAAUAUUGGACAAUGGGCGAAAGCCUGAUCCAGCAAUGCCGCGUGUGUGAAGAAGGCCUUCGGGUUGUAAAGCACUUUUAUCAGGAGCGAAAUACUGCCGGCUAAUACCCGGCGGGGCUGACGGUACCUGAGGAAUAAGCACCGGCUAACUUCGUGCCAGCAGCCGCGGUAAUACGAAGGGUGCAAGCGUUAAUCGGAAUUACUGGGCGUAAAGCGUGCGUAGGCGGUUCUUUAAGUCUGCUGUGAAAUCCCCGGGCUCAACCUGGGAAUGGCAGUGGAUACUGGAGAGCUAGAGUGUGAUAGAGGAUGGUGGAAUUCCCGGUGUAGCGGUGAAAUGCGUAGAGAUCGGGAGGAACAUCAGUGGCGAAGGCGGCCAUCUGGAUCAACACUGACGCUGAGGCACGAAAGCGUGGGGAGCAAACAGGAUUAGAUACCCCAGUAGUCC
rnacentral:rRNA from 1 species